rnacentral:rRNA from 1 species
UCAGAUUGCAGGCUGCAACUCGCCUGUAUGAAGUUGGAAUUGCUAGUAAUCGCGGAUCAGCAUGCCGCGGUGAGUACGUUCCCGGGCCUUGUACACACCGCCCGUCACACCAUGAGGGCCGGUAAUACCCGAAGUCAGUAUCCUAACCGCAAGGAGGGAGCUGCCGAAGGUAGGAUUGGCGAUUGGGGUGAAGUCGUAACAAGGUAAC